GGACCAAUUUGUUGGUCGUGCCUCGGUACGUACUGGUAUUAUUGGUUUCUCCCUUCUGAAGAACCUUGAUGUCAUUAAUUUGGUGUCAUGGGGAAUCAGGACUGUUACUUUGAAAAAAUUAGAGUGUUUAAAGCAGGCUCGCGCUUGAAUACAUUAGCAUGGAAUAAUGAAAUAGGACGUUUGAUUCUAUUUUGUUGGUUUCUAGGAUCGACGUAAU
rnacentral:rRNA from 1 species